GAUGAACGCUGGCGGCGUGCCUAAUACAUGCAAGUCGAGCGAACAGACGAGGAGCUUGCUCCUCUGACGUUAGCGGCGGACGGGUGAGUAACACGUGGAUAACCUACCUAUAAGACUGGGAUAACUUCGGGAAACCGGAGCUAAUACCGGAUAAUAUAUUGAACCGCAUGGUUCAAUAGUGAAAGACGGUUUUGCUGUCACUUAUCGAUGGAUCCGCGCCGCAUUAGCUAGUUGGUAAGGUAACGGCUUACCAAGGCAACGAUGCGUAGCCGACCUGAGAGGAUGAUCGGCCACACUGGAACUGAAACACGGUCCAGACUCCUACGGGAGGCAGCAGUAGGGAAUCUUACGCAAUGGGCGAAAGCCUGACGGAGCAACGCCGCGUGAGUGAUGAAGGUCUUCGGAUCGUAAAACUCUGUUAUGAGGGAAGAACAAAUGUGUAAGUAACUAUGCACGUCUUGACGGUACCUAAUCAGAAAGCCACGGCUAACUACGUG
rnacentral:rRNA from 1 species